UAGAAGGGAAUACUUAGGGCAGUCAGGGUCAUUGUUGGCUUUAUGACACCAUCUGGCCAUUAUUUUGUAUGCUGAGGAUCCUACAGAGUGACGAGACAGAGUUUCUGUUCUAGGAGCUUCCAGUUCAGUUUGGGAGAUGUGCAGCACCAUGAAGCACCAGAUAUUGGCCUGUUCUAAGUGGCAGACAAAAAAACACAGGCAAGGAGAUCAAAGGAGGGGCUGUCACACAGGCUGCGGGAGUCUGGGAACACUUCAGGGAAACCGACCUCACGCUGGGCUUUGAAGGCAGCUGGGACACGAACUCAGGAACUGAAAAGGUCAAAGAAAUCCAGCUCCUCAGAAUUACAGACUCAGAUUCUACGCUGUAAAGGUCAGGGGUGGCUAUGCCCUGGAGAUACUCUUGGAACAUUCCAGUGAAGUGUGUGGGAGAAGGAAAUGGACCAGGUGGGAUCAAAUUCUCUUAGAUCCUUUGUGGGCUGCUCCUUUGAACAAAAACCUCUGAAGAAACCGUUGGGAAAUGAGACUAAGUCAAAACUGAACUACAAAGAGUCAAAGCACCAAAGAGAUUGCUUGGAUGGGAUCCAGCUAUUGCCUGCAAAACCUGUGAACUACAAAGGACAGAACCAGCUGGUGAAAUUUAUUCCUAGAAAAUCUGACGGGAGUCUCCCAUUUCACAGCAACCGAAGACAAUGGUUUAAAAGCUUUCCUUAAAUGCAUUCUCUCUCAUUUCUGGUUUUCAUUUGAAAGGAAGGGGAUUUCCCUCUGAGAGAUUUCAUUAGAAAGACAGAAACAACAGCUCUUCUUCCCAAACCACACUUCUCAGUUUCUAAUUCCUUAAAAGCGCAGAUGUCUUUGUUCUGGGUCUCAGAAUCUUAGUGGUAAAGGAAGACAGACUGGUUUGCUGUUGAGAAAAAGGGGGUGAUUGGAGAACUGGAAGCACUACCCUAAAAUUCUUAACCAAACAGUCUGGAAGAAGUGUCUGGUUUCUAACCCAUUUCUUAUUUUUAUAUUUCAUGGAAAGAAUCACUUAAUUUGUUCAAAGAGUUGAUUCACAAAGUAUCACUAACUCAUUUUUUUCCCUCCUGACUUGUCU
ensembl:lincRNA